CUUGUAUUCUACAAAGGCAUAUAAACAGUGAAUGCACUGAUAUUCAGGUGGGGUGAAUCUACAAGAUUACUCCUAUCCUCUUAAGUCCCAAGAUCAAAACUGACAAGUGAAAACCUAUGUGGAAGGGCAACAUGCAGAAAAUCUCUAAUCACUUUUACUCUUGGCAAGAUUGCAAUUAACAGCAUUGAAUAGUGCUGGGAGCCAUUAGCCAAGUAGGUAUGACAAUUUCCUUGCCAGCGUACCCCAUGUUGCAGUGACAUUGAAUGUAGGUGACCUUGUUCAAGGACCAAGGCGGAUUAGGGCGUUCCCGGUUUAGGUUCCAGGUUUAAGGUUUAAGAUUAUUCCUGCUGGGAAUAGGGCGUAUCCUGCUGCCUGAGUUCCCCUUGAGUUCUCACGGGAUUCAGACAGUAUAUUUUGGGAGACAGAAGCCCAGUGGAGGUGGAUUUGGGCAGAGAACGUGGAUUUGGGCAGAGAACGUGGAUUUCCCCAGAACGUGAUUGUAGACGGCUGGUGUGAGUUCGGGAAUAAAGAGUUGCUGUUUGAAUCUACAAGCUGUGUGGUGGCUCGUGAUUGUGUGCCCAGCCAGACUGCGGCAUUUGUGCCCAGCCAGACUGUGGCAUUUGGUGGCUUGUACGGGGAACUUCUGAAGCUUGGAGGUAAGUGAAAUUGCUUGCCCUUGAGGAAGAG
rnacentral:lncRNA from 1 species